rnacentral:rRNA from 1 species
GAUGAACGCUAGCGGGAGGCCUAACACAUGCAAGCCGAGCGGUAUUUGUCAUUCGUGACAGAGAGAGCGGCGUACGGGUGCGUAACGCGUGUGCAACCUGCCUUUAUCUGGGAGAUAGCCUUUCGAAAGGAAGAUUAAUACCCCAUAAUAUAUAGAUUGGCAUCGAUUUAUAUUGAAAGACUUCGGCGGAUAGAGAUGGGCACGCGCAAGAUUAGAUAGUUGGUGAGGUAACGGCUCACCAAGUCGAUGAUCUUUAGGGGUCCUGAGAGGGAGAUCCCCCACACUGGUACUGAGACACGGACCAGACUCCUACGGGAGGCAGCAGUGAGGAAUAUUGGACAAUGGGUGGAAGCCUGAUCCAGCCACUCCCGCGUGAAGGAUUAAGGUUCUAUGGACUGUAAACUUCUUUUGUACAGGGAUAAACCUACUCUCGUGAGAGUAGCUGAAGGUACUGUACGAAUAAGCACCGGCUAACUCCGUGCCAGC